ACAACAAUCUGAGCCCACUAUUUUCUUAAUUAUAGAAAACCAAAGGAACCACUUCAAUGUCUAUCUCCUUCUCUCCCCGUUAGAAAACACAACAACAAUCUGAAGCAGAUCUUGCGGCCUGAAAUAUCUACUUUCACCCCUCCCCACGAGAUCUGGAUCAAGAUAAGAUUCUCCUUUGGUUUUGGUUCUCUGGAUCAGGAUGAGGUUCUCUUUUUGUUUUUGAUUCAGUUUUUUUUUCUUGCUUUCUACAGAUUGAAUCUCAAAGAUCUCCGCAAGCUCUUCGCCUUUGUUUGAUUUCUGCUACUGAUUCUCUCCCACGUUUACCUACUGUCGUGGAUUGGUUCGUCUGUUGAUAUCCAAUAAAACACAUGAGCAUGUGUGCGUUCCACCCAGAUUCUCCAUGUGUUCUCCAAUCUGAUUCUUGAUUGGGUGAUGGUGGAAAAGUUGUUAUUUAAAACAACAACAAUCUGAAGCUGAUCUUGCAGCGUGAAAUCUCUACUAUCACCCCAUCCCCCGAGAUCUGGAUCAAGAUGAGGUUCUCCUUUGGUUAUGGUUCUCUGGAUUAGGAUGAGGUUCUCUUUUGGUUUUGGAUUCAGUUUUUUUCUUGCUUUCUAUGGAUUGAAUCUCGAAGAUCUGCGCAAGCUCUUCACCUUUGGAUUUCUGCUGCUGAUUCUUUUCCACGUUUACCUAUUGUCCUGGAUUGGUUCGUCUGUUGAUGUCCAAUAAAAUACAUGAGCAUGUGUACGUUCCGCCCAGGUUCUCCAUGUGUUCUCCAAACUAAUUCUUGACUGGGUGAUGGUGGAAAAUUUAUUAUUUACGUCUUGAAAGUGGGGUAGCAAGAUUUGUGCGAAGAGUACUUCAAGUCCAACAAUUUCUUUCCUGACAAGUUCCGAUCAAAGUCAAUAUGCAGGAAUCGUUCUUUUUUUGCACGUUACAUGGCUGCCACCUCCCAAGUAACUAUGAUGCGCCUCAGCCCGGCAAUUGCCCCCACUGCACCCUUACCUCCUGCAGCCAUCUUCUAAGCAUGUACCUAAGUGCUUAGCAACGUCCUCUUGGAACAACAACGACCACAUCACUAUCAUGAAGACUGGCAAGGAAGAGAGGUUGAUCAAGGCGCGGGACUAUGCCUGAGUUAUAUUUCAGCGUGUCAUGCAACCACAUGUUGACACCCACUAUUGCAUGUGACUUGCAAGAAGCAAUAGCUUGCCAUCCAUCGACAUAACAAGCACGAUGCUGACCCCCAUCUACAUGCAUUACUCGCGUGGCACAAUACAAUAAAUGUUGCAGCAUAUAUCCCUUUUCUCCAGUCAGUUUCAAACAUCCCUCUGUCUACCUGUUUGACCUGCUCCCCAUGCAUGUGCUUGAGACUUUGAGCCUUUGAAGUGAUGUUUAGAGGAAAUAGCUAUGAGUGGGUCUUUUCUUUUCUGAUGAUUGUUUAGAGAAAAUAGCUAUAUAUAUAUAUAUCCGAUAUAACCUUUGAACCAAUGCUCAAGGUCCUAUAUGUAAGACACAGUGCAUUACAUGGUAUACUCUAAGUAAGAGUAGCUUCUGUUGUGCAGGUAUUUCUCCUACAUGCAGAUUCUUAUCAACAAAGUGAAUCUCAUAGAAUAUUUAUACUCAUCAUGUAACAGUAACAUUAGCUAUUUUGUUAUGUGUAUAUUAAACAGUUUGUCUACCAACCAUUAUUUUCGAUUAUGUACUUUAAACAAAGUCGAUCCUCAUCUCCCUGAUGUUUACUGCUACAAAAUUGGUGCACGCAUGGUUCUGGCACUCAAUUUCUUUUAUGAUCCGCCAAGUAGUAGUUAAAUUUUUUCUUGCAAAGUAUAGUUGACUAAAUUUUAACAUCCGCUAUUUUGAAGGAACGGUUUAGAGAAAACAGCUAUAACAGUUUUUUCUGGUCCUAUUAUACUUGGAUCUGGUUUCUUCUAAUAUCGUGUUACUCCUAAAUAGUUCAUGUUUCAUUUUUCUCUUCAUUGUAUGUAAUCUUGUCAAAUGCCAGUUGUGCGCCUAUCUAAAUAUUAUAAUUUCUUUACUAUUAGAACUUGGUUUAAUCUAUAUGAUUACUUUCCUACUAGAUUUGUACUGUCCAUGUUUAGACAUUUACUUAGAUGAACAAAAUCCACUUAUUUGGCAAGAUGAGCAUCUAUAGAUGGUUCUUUAUUUAUCAAGUAUCCCAUAAGUCAUAAUGCACAAAAACGGAUGUUCAUAGUGUCAAUCAGUAUCUCCAGGUCGUGUGGUACAAAGUCAGGGAUGGCCGGCCUAAGAAUAAGAACAUUUUAUAUCAACGAUCAAUGCAACAUUCCCUGAGCUUAUUAAUCUAUAUCUAUACUUCUACUAAUUAGGCACUUCCUAGAAAUUCCCACGUUAAUUAGAAAUUACGAACCGCUAAUCUAUGUGGGGCCAAAUUAUUACGGUGUAGAUUAACCCAAAAGGACUCAAUAAAAAAAUCAUUUUUCUCAGUUGAAAAACAUAGUAAGAAAAAAAAAACUUUAUCUCCAUCUAUUCACAUAAUAACAAAAAACUUUUCCUCAUGUUGUCACGCCCUAGAUGCCAUCUAAUUCUUCAGAUGAAAUUUUUUUCAUAUCUAUCCUCACCGAUCAUAAAGUGAAGCGCUCACGUCAAGGAGCCCUCUAUCUUCCAUCUCAGAAAAUAAAUCACGUUAAUCCUCACCCCCCGUUUAAAAAAAACACAUCUAUCCACACCUGCCAAUCCUACAAAGAAGCAGUCACGCCCAAGUCCCCAUCUAUCUUUUGUCUCAAAGAAAAUAUCACGUAUAUCCUCACAACAAAAUCCCCUUCUACAUGCAAGGGACUCCUCUUUCGCUAUUAUUUAUCCAGCAAGCAACGUGUUCCAGCCUGCAGGAGAGCCGCCCAAUUUAUUUCUGGAUUGCUUCAGUCUCAUGGUCAUGCAGGUCCAAACUGAUGGGUUUUUUUUCUGGUGAACUUGCAUGGACUACUUGCUGCAAUUGUUCUCGGGCGAGGGAAACAAAUACAUACAAUGGGUGGAUGUGCAUGAGGCAACACAGUCAAUUGAUCACCGACAGGUUGAUUGAUUCUUUCUAUGAACAUACGUACAUGCAGUUGACAGUGAUUGCUUUCUUCUAGGUUGAUGUGCAUGAGGCAGCGCACUCAAUUGAUAACCGGCGGCACAUGACGCGCCCCGACCCGUCAAAGGUUGAAUCAAAGAAGGCAUAAGUUCUUCUACUGAUAUGAGUUCAUGGAGUCAAUCAUUGGUUCAGAUUUAUAAUGCUCAUUAUGUCUAGAAACAUUAAGGGUACAAUAAGUUCACUUGCAGAUGAGACACUUUCAACGUAUAUGCAUGACACUUCUGAUUUAAUCAUGGUGAUACAUAUAGGUCGUCGAUAAUGCCAAAACAUGCACAUACCUUUCAUGGUAGAUUAAUUGUUGACUAAUAAGAUAGUAUCUUUACUUCAUGCAUCUCCCUUUACUAAUCCGUCCGUCUUUAACUAAUUUAUAUUCACAUGGCGCUAUAUACGUGUUCCGACAUGUAGAAGAUACGCCCAAUUUGUUGGUACGCUGAAGACACCAUGUAGUGAAUUUUUUUACAUACCUGACUACCAUGUAUAUGUAGUUGUAUAAGAAAUUUAGUAUGUUUUGAAGCUUUCAAGUAUAUACUAAUUUUUUUUAGUAUACC